UCCCCAAAAGCUUUCAGCAAAGCCCUUUUCUAGCACAGGUGAGGGAGGGGUGUGGUAAGGAAGGGUCCAGGUCCCAGGGUACAACUUUCACCCUCCAAAGUCCGGUCCCGGCUAAGAGGAGACACAUCUCAGUUGGCAGGAGCUCUCUCAGGGCCAGGAUCCCAGACCCCACCCAGCGGUCACCACUGAGGGAGCCAGGUGCCCAACCCAGCUGGCUCUCGGGCUCCUCAGGCCGCACGAAUGGGGCGGGGGCAGGUCCCACAGGCUGUGACCUGCAGACUCGCUGCUAUUAGGUCACAGAGGAGAGGAUGGGGGAGACAUUCACGGCUGCCAUGAAGGCCUGAGCCAAGGCCAGCGGGCGGCCUUGGUGAGGGCUCUGGAGCCCUACAGAACACCGCCCUCAGCCUAUUCCCCAGACCCUCCAGCCCACACACUGGCCCAAGGCCUGGUGAGCUGGAGGGUCCUGGGGAGAGGCUGGGAUCCACCUCUUAUCUCACUCUCUCACGACCAACACUCUACCAACAGUUGACCAAAUCCCCCCCACUAAAGGUUGCUCGGUGACAGCUGGUUGAUGUGGGCGGGGCCCACUUCGUGCUGACCAAUGGCUGAGCCAGCCUCAUUGCCAGAUUUCUGAGUCUUGGGCACAGAGACCCAAUCAUG